CCUACGGGUGGCAGCAGUGGGGAAUAUUGCGCAAUGGAGGAAACUCUGACCCAGCAACGCCGCGUGUAUGAUGAAGGUCUUCGGAUUGUAAAGUUCUUUUCUAAGGGAAGAAGAAAGUGACGGUACCUUAGGAAUAAGCCUCGGCUAACUACGGGACAGCAGCCGCGGUAAUACGUAGGAGGCGAGCGUUAUCCGGGAUGACUGGGCGUAAUGGGUGCGUAGGUGGUUUGGCAAGUUAGUAGCGUAACUCCCAGGCGCAACCUGGGAAAUACUAAUAAAACUGUUGGACUUGAGUGCAGGAGGGGCAACCGGAAUGCCUAGGGUAGCGGUGGAAGGCGUAGAUAUUAGGAGGAACACCAGUGGCGAAGGCGGGUUGCUAGACUGUAACUGACACUGAGGCACGAAAGCGUGGGGAGCAAACAGGAUUAGAUACCCUGGUAGUC
rnacentral:rRNA from 1 species